GACCUCAAAUCAGGUAAGAGUACCCGCUGAACUUAAGCAUAUCAAUAAGCGGAGGAAAAGAAAAUAACAAUGAUUCCCUUAGUAACGGCGAGUGAAGGGGGAUAAGCUCAAAUUUUAAAUCUGACUAGGUUUUCCCUAUCAGAGUUGUAUUUUGAAGAAGCGUUUUCCGCGUCUCGGUUGGCCCAAGUCCUUUGGGAUAAGGUAUCAUGGAGGGUGAGAAUCCCGUUCGGUUGACCUUAUGACGCUUUACGAUACGCUCUCAAAGAGUCGAGUUGUUUGGGAUUGCAGCUCAAAAUGGGAGGUAAAUUUCUCCUAAGGCUAAAUAUCGGCGAGAGACCGAUAGCGAACAAGUACCGUGAGGGAAAGAUGAAAAGAACUUUGAAAAGAGAGUAAAAUAGUACGUGAAAUUGUUGAAAGGGAAACGAUUGAAG
rnacentral:rRNA from 1 species